AGCGUUGCGGGAUAAACAUGACAAGCGCAAGAGAGAGGUAAGCAGCGCUGAGAAAGUUAAUCCCUACAGUGUCUACUAAGUCAAAGUUUACUGAAUAAAAUACAAGUUGCUUCACUCGGCUCCACGCGCCGAAUUACCUAUUCACCGCCCCUCACUUCAUUUGCCGGGCGACACUCCUACAAUCGAAUCUGUUGGGUUACACAGUGAGUAGAGUUUAAAUCGUUUUGAUGUGCGAGCGUUUUAUUACUAGUUGUACCGGGUGGACUCAGUGGACUGGCAAAUUAUUAUAAUCUAUUAUAUUAAAAUGUCGACUUAUUGUUCGGUAGACAGUUGUUUUACAAAGCGUGGAAGUGGUUUAAUGUUUUUUAGAUGUCCGAAAAAUGAAAAUAGGUAAGUACAUUGGAAUUAGUUGUUUAUUAAAUUCAUGAUUGCAUUCCUAGUUACUUUAUGAUCUGGUUCCUGUUUCUUUUUUUAAAUUAAUAUAAAAAAUGGAUUAUAGGUGCCAACUCUGGAAAGGUAUUUUGGGAUUUACUGGCAAACAUAGAUAUGCCGAUCUUACUCCGGAACAAUGUUGUAAAAGGGUUAAUAUCUGUAGCUUGCAUUUUGCGGAGAGCAGUUUUAUGUCCCCUUCAAAUCAACGUCUUAGACCCGAAGCAAUUCUUACAUUGUUCCUAACCAGAGUAUCGACAAAUAUGUUUUAUGUUUUCUUCUAAUUUGUGCACUUAUAAUGGCAAUAUGUAUUAUAGAAGAUACCUUUUAAUAUUUGCAGUUUUUUGGUGUAUAGGGAAAUCAGAAUUAUUUACAAAUUUACGUACUAUUUUUCCAGGCACAGAUAAUUCUAACAUCAUUGCAAGUCACACAUUAAGGAAGGAAUUCAGUGACGCUUCCGUGCAAACUGACACUCCGAUCCAGGUUAAUGUUUCUGUCCAGACGGAUGUAUGUAAUAAUACAGAUAAGUUCUGUCAAACGUCAAUGAAGAUUUCGGCAAUGACUCCAAGAAAAAUUUAAUUAAGAAAAGAAAUUAAAACUCUGGAAAAGGAAGGCUCUCACGCAAAAAGAUCCCUGGAAGUAGGAAUUACUUUGGACGAUGUUCAAAAAUUCCUAGAUGACAACUACCCAGCAGAUUCUUGUGCAUUCCUUAAGAGUCAGCUAUCUCUUCUGAACAAGUCUUCUCGGGGAAGCAGAGAAAAUUAAUGCCAAAAUAAACGAUUAUGGUGCAUUCUUGUGUAGUAAAGAGAGUAGAGCAUUAAAAUCCAAAUUUCAUCGGUAAGUUUAUUUGUUUACGUUUAAACAGCAAAAGACUUUUGUAUUUUUACCACCAGCGUCGUCACAUGAAAAAUAUUACGGUUAAUUAAUUAUAUAAUAACAUUUUUCGCCUCUAUUUAAAAUUGCACAAGAGCGACGAAAACAACACGUAUAGAUAUAGAAAAUUAUUUGUACACUACACAAUCCUUUCUCCAUCCUUUUCUCUCUCACUACUAAUUUUAAAACAAUAAAAUUC